GGUCUUAUAUUCAUAUUUGUGAUGAUAGAAUGCAAUUCUAUAGGGGUGGGUUUAUACUACUAAGGCUU
rnacentral:tRNA from 1 species